UUGAUCUUAACUAUCUUGGACGUGGUUUCUUCCACUAAAUCCGGGCCAAACAAUCUUCUAUCGCCCACUUCCUCCCAACAAAUCGGUGAACUGCACGGACGCCCGUAUAGCGCCUCGUAUGGGGCCAUGCCGAUGCUUGCUUGGUAACUGUUGUUGUAGGCAAACUCUAUUAGGGGUAGAUGGUCGUCCCAAUGGCCUCCGGAGUCAAGGACACAAGCUCGGAGCAUAUCCUCCAGCGUA
rnacentral:lncRNA from 1 species